rnacentral:rRNA from 1 species
AAAGCGGUACGCGAGCUGGGUUCAGAACGUCGUGAGACAGUUCGGUCCCUAUCUGUCGUGGGCGGAGGAUACUUGAAGGGAGUUGACCAUAGUACGAGAGGACCUGGUUGAACGUAUCCCUAGUGUUCCGGUUGUUUCGCCAGAAGCAUAGCCGGGUAGCUAUAUACGGAAUCGAUAACCGCUGAAAGCAUCUAAGCGGGAAGCGAGCCCUAAGAUGAGGUAUCCCUGGACUUCGGUCCCUAAAGGCCACUCGUAGACUACGAGUUUGAUAGGCUGGGUGUGGAAGUGCGGUAACGCAUGUAGCUGACCAGUACUAAUCGGCCGUGAGGCUUGACCUAU